AAGUGGGUAGGGUUUCCACAUGUUUAAGAGAAAAUUAGAUAUUUCAAACGAGUGGCUUGACAGAAAGUUGCGGCUUCGAGAGGGAAUUGUUGAAGUGCUUCAGACUUUCAUCAUUCGAAAGCGCUCCGGAAAGGAAAGGUGUUGGCUUGAAGGUUUGUGGCUCUUGUUCGGCUUCGAGAGUUAUUUUCUGGUGAUGUUCGGAGUCUCACGACCGUUUCGAGGCAUUCGUCAAAGGCGUUUGGGUGAGCUAUUUGAGAUCUUGCAACCCAGAAUCUCUCCUUAGAUUUCUGUUGUUCUCUAUCCUUAAACAGAAGUCGUAUCCAGUUUGAAUCUGUUAUCUACUUCAAAUUGUAAACUUCUUAGAAGCUCUUCUACGAGUCUAGACCAGGUUUUGGGAAUUUCUUAUAAUAAAAGUAUUUCUUCCGCAUUGGUUUAAUAUCUAAACUGCUAGAGUGUGUUUACAUGUUAUUCCGCACGUUGUAUCAAAUUAAGGUAGUUACCUGAAGGGUUCGCCCACCAGGGAGGGUUAGUGUGGGUGCCUGCAUGAUCCAUGAUUUGGGUCGUGACAACCAUCAUCAGCGAGUCCUAAAAGAAAGAGAAGCUCUAAAGGUGCUGUGAGCGCAUCUAGCAUUCGGGGAUUAAAUGAUCUCCCCGAAGACGAUACUUGGGUCGCGAGAGUUAGCUUGGACCCCGCUAUUGCCGCUUCUAAUGCGGAAGGAACCACUCCGAUGGAGGUCUCGGAGGAAAACAUCACUGCCGAUUUGGUCGGUCUCGCCCACCUAGCCAUUCCACAAGUAUCGAGAAGUACUACUCGGAUCACAAAAUCUGGUUCGAGAUCCCGUCUUAUAGACGUCUUCCUGGCCCCAACCAUAGACCGGAGAAAGACUAGGUCGGCAACCAUCAUUGUACCCAAAGAUUGCGGCUUUUUAUCCUGUCCUAUAGGGGUAGCCAGCUAUUUUCGUCCUCUUGUGUCGGAAUCCGAUAAAGAAAAGAUGGUAGGGCUCUUGUGGCAAUAUCUUCUUAACGAGAGCGUGCAUGCUUCCAAUCGGGUAAAUAUUCUUCCCUUACAAAGAGUUUGAUUUAUUUAGAGUAAUCUUCAGCAUUUAUUGAUUCCUAACUUUAUUUUCUCCUUCACAGGCUGUCGUGCUCAAGAAUGAUGGUUUGUUUCGAGCCCAAUGAGAGAUGGAUGACCUACGGGCCCAAUUGGAUGACUAGAGUAGGGAAACAGAGAAGUUCAAACUUCUUUUUCAGUAGAAGGAAGAACAGCUGAGCUAGAUUGUCGAUCCUUCGACCCUCCGAGCUGACCUUCGAGAGGCCAAGGAGGAGAACCACCGGUUGAAAAAUGACUUUGCAGACGUAACUGAGAAGAAUAACGCCUUGGAGGAGGAAAAAAGGCAGCUCACCCGUGAGAACUCUACUAACAUUAUUAAGUUCGGGGAGCUAGAGGCCACCAUUGCCCAAUUGAGGCGGCAUCUAGAUUCUAUUAAAGGCGAGGUCGAAAACAUGAAGGAGCAGUUCACUCAGCUCGAGUGUAAAAGGCCAUCGAGAGGGAAACCUUUAAGGAUAUUCCCAAAGAAUCCGGUUCUGGAGACUCGAACUCUGCUUCGAGGACUAGAUAGGCUUAGGGAGCCUUGGUAUUUUCUUUUGAUUUUUGCAAAUCAAGUUCGAGUCUUCGGCCUUUUAUGCUAUAAAAUUUAUUUUUGGCUUUCUUUUGUCUGCGCUCCUUCUAUUAUUUUCAAUACUUAUCCAUAUGACACUUAAGAACAGAUCCUUGAAUCAUAUAAUGUUUGUGACAUUAUUUUUUUCGAAAAUGAAUUAUACCUGCCUUUAGUCCUUAUCGAUUUUCAUCUUAUCAGACGAGUAAUUAAUAACUUCAUUUUUAACGAAAAAUUGAGCCAACUUAACUUAGAAGUUUUAGACUCUAUUUAUACCGGUUCUUUUUCAUCCGAUAUCUUUUAAUCAGGGCUCAUAUGUGGGAGCCUUUUUAUGCUUAUGAAUUCGGACAUCUCCGAUCACUUUGGGCACAUGGGUCAAUGUCUUAAUUACUCAACCCUUUUUCGAUUGUUUGAAGUCUUUGAAAAUUAGGCCCGGUUUAUUAUUACCUUGGUGUCUUCGUCUGUUUUGUGAUGGCAGUCCCAGUCACUGGUAGCUCAUGGACGUUAAAGAUCCGCUAUUCAGGUAUUUCCAUAAGAGCAUAACAUACAUAUUUUUCCCGAGAUACUCUUCUUAUUUCAAAUAAUUAUUUCAUACAGAAAGCUAAGAAUGUUAUAUCCAACA